rnacentral:snRNA from 1 species
GGCGCCGUUGCCGGGGAU